rnacentral:rRNA from 1 species
UUUUUCUGGGCGGGGUGCUUACACAUGCAGUCGAACGGGAUCCAUCAGGCUUUGCUUGGUGGUGAGAGUGGCGAACGGGUGAGUAAUGCGUGACCGACCUGCCCCAUACACCGGAAUAGCUCCUGGAAACGGGUGGUAAUGCCGGAUGCUCCGACUCCUCGCAUGGGGUGUCGGGAAAGAUUUCAUCGGUAUGGGAUGGGGUCGCGUCCUAUCAGGUAGUCGGCGGGGUAACGGCCCACCGAGCCUACGACGGGUAGCCGGCCUGAGAGGGCGACCGGCCACAUUGGGACUGAGAUACGGCCCAGACUCCUACGGGAGGCAGCAGUGGGGAAUAUUGCACAAUGGGCGCAAGCCUGAUGCAGCGACGCCGCGUGCGGGAUGACGGCCUUCGGGUUGUAAACCGCUUUUGAUCGGGAGCAAGCCUUCGGGUGAGUGUACCUUUCGAAUAAGCACCGGCUAACUACGUGCCAGCAGCCGCGGUAAUACGUAGGGUGCAAGCGUUAUCCGGAAUUAUUGGGCGUAAAGGGCUCGUAGGCGGUUCGUCGCGUCCGGUGUGAAAGUCCAUCGCUUAACGGUGGAUCUGCGCCGGGUACGGGCGGGCUGGAGUGCGGUAGGGGAGACUGGAAUUCCCGGUGUAACGGUGGAAUGUGUAGAUAUCGGGAAGAACACCAAUGGCGAAGGCAGGUCUCUGGGCCGUUACUGACGCUGAGGAGCGAAAGCGUGGGGAGCGAACAGGAUUAGAUACCCUGGUAGUCCACGCCGUAAACGGUGGAUGCUGGAUGUGGGGCCCGUUCCACGGGUUCCGUGUCGGAGCUAACGCGUUAAGCAUCCCGCCUGGGGAGUACGGCCGCAAGGCUAAAACUCAAAGAAAUUGACGGGGGCCCGCACAAGCGGCGGAGCAUGCGGAUUAAUUCGAUGCAACGCGAAGAACCUUACCUGGGCUUGACAUGUUCCCGACAGCCGUAGAGAUAUGGCCUCCCUUCGGGGCGGGUUCACAGGUGGUGCAUGGUCGUCGUCAGCUCGUGUCGUGAGAUGUUGGGUUAAGUCCCGCAACGAGCGCAACCCUCGCCCUGUGUUGCCAGCACGUCAUGGUGGGAACUCACGGGGGACCGCCGGGGUCAACUCGGAGGAAGGUGGGGAUGACGUCAGAUCAUCAUGCCCCUUACGUCCAGGGCUUCACGCAUGCUACAAUGGCCGGUACAACGGGAUGCGACACGGCGACGUGGAGCGGAUCCCUGAAAACCGGUCUCAGUUCGGAUUGGAGUCUGCAACCCGACUCCAUGAAGGCGGAGUCGCUAGUAAUCGCGGAUCAGCAACGCCGCGGUGAAUGCGUUCCCGGGCCUUGUACACACCGCCCGUCAAGUCAUGAAAGUGGGUAGCACCCGAAGCCGGUGGCCUAACCCUUUGUGGAUGGAGCCGUCUAAGGUAAGUUGG